rnacentral:lncRNA from 1 species
AAUCGAAGGGCUAAGGUCCCCCAAUCCCUUUCCUCUACUUCUUCCAUCCCCAUGAGUCUCCAUCGGGUGGAAGGAGGCUUGGAAUAGUCAAAUUGAACAGCUAGGGUUCCCCUCCAGCCCUUUUGCUCUAUUUCUUCCAUCCUCAGGAGUCUCCAUUUGGUAAGAGGCUAGGCGAGGCAUGCCUGUGUGGAAGGGGACCAAGGUAGUGGGGUCAUCAAAGGGAGAGAGGGAGGGGGAAGGCCUCGAUGAGAUCGGUGAAGAAGUUAAUGGGGUUGCCGAAGACUUGGCAGAGGAAGCAAGAGAGGAGGGAGAGGUCUAAGAGCGAGAAAAGAGGGAGUAUCCGAGUGGCAGAGGAAUGAAGGGGUCGUCCAUUCAUCGAUCUUCAAGGUU